AGCGAACGCUGGCGGCAGGCUUAACACAUGCAAGUCGAGCGGGCACUUUCGGGUGUCAGCGGCGGACGGGUGAGUAACGCGUGGGAACGUGCCCUCUGGUUCGGAAUAACUCAGGGAAACUUGAGCUAAUACCGGAUACGCCCUUUUGGGGAAAGGCUUGCUGCCGGAGGAUCGGCCCGCGUCUGAUUAGCUAGUUGGUGAGGUAACGGCUCACCAAGGCGACGAUCAGUAGCUGGUCUGAGAGGAUGAUCAGCCACACUGGGGCUGAGACACGGCCCAGACUCCUACGGGAGGCAGCAGGGGGGAAUAAUGGAAAAUGGGCGCAAGCCUGAUCCAGCCAUGCCGGGUGAGUGAUGAAGGCCUUAGGGUUGGAAAGCUCUUUUAUCCGGGACGAUAAUGACGGUACCGGAGGAAUAAGCCCCGGCUAACUUCGUG
rnacentral:rRNA from 1 species